rnacentral:rRNA from 1 species
UACGAAGGGUGCAAGCGUUACUCGGAAUUACUGGGCGUAAAGCGUGCGUAGGUGGUUGUUUAAGUCUGUUGUGAAAGCCCUGGGCUCAACCUGGGAACUGCAGUGGAGACUGGGCAGCUUGAGGGGCCUAGAGGCCGGUGGAACUCCCGGUGUAGUGGUGAAAUGCGUAGAGAUCGGGAAGAACACCAGUGGCGAAGGCGGCCGGCUGGGGGCGCCCUGACGCUGAGGCGCGAGAGCGUGGGGAGCAAACCGG